GAACGCUAGCGACAGGCUAACACAUGCAAGUCGAGGGGCAGCACGGGAGUAGCAAUACUUGGUGGCGACCGGCGCACGGGUGAGUAACGCGUAUGCAACCUACCUAUCAGAGGGGAAUAACCCGGCGAAAGUCGGACUAAUACCGCAUAAAACAGGGGCACCGCAUGGUGAUAUUUGUUAAAGAAAUUCGCUGAUAGAUGGGCAUGCGUUCCAUUAGGUAGUUGGUGAGGUAACGGCUCACCAAGCCGACGAUGGAUAGGGGAACUGAGAGGUUGGUCCCCCACACUGGUACUGAGACACGGACCAGACUCCUACGGGAGGCAGCAGUGAGGAAUAUUGGUCAAUGGGCGGGAGCCUGAACCAGCCAAGUCGCGUGAAGGAAAAGAAGGAUCUAUGGUUCGUAAACUUCUUUUGCAGGGGAAUAAAGUGCAGGACGUGUCCUGUUUUGUAUGUACCCUGAGAAUAAGGAUCGGCUAACUCCGUGCCAGCAGCUGC
rnacentral:rRNA from 1 species